rnacentral:rRNA from 1 species
UGAGGGAAAGUUGCAAAGAACUUUGAAGAGAGAGUUCAAGAGUACGUGAAACUGCUCGGAGGGAAACGGGUGGAUCCUCGAAGUCCGAGCGGAGCGGGAUUCAGUGGCCGGCGGAGGGCGCCGUCGCGGUGCGCACCCUUCAGAGGGACGUUCCGCGGAGGCGUUCCCGUCGUCGGCCGCGCACUUCUCGCUCCCGACGGACGCCGCAGCCGGUCUGGCGUCGGCAGUGAGGACUGGUCGGGAGAUGGCGCGGGCGCGGGUCCAGCAUCCGCGUCCCGAUUCUGUACCGACCGCGUUCCCGGUGCGACGCCGGUCCGAGGGAAGGAGUCCGCUUCGGCGGACGCGCCGUGGCCUCGCUCGAGAGAGACUGAGCGGGGAGAGUGGUCCGGUCCGACCGGCCGAGCCGUCCACACGAGUCGUGGGCGGCCGGCGAAGGUGCUCCGGAAGGCCGCGACUAGACCCGCCGUUACGCGAGCACGCGGCUUGCGGCGAGUAGGUCGGUAACCCACCCGACCCGUCUUGAAACACGGACCAAGGAGUCUAACUUGUGCGCGAGUCAGUGGGACUCGGAUAAGCCCACGGGCGUUAAUGAAAGUGAAGUGACGUCAGUCUGUCGCGAUCUUGUAACGAUCCCAGGAUCGGGGCGCAGCGGCGACCCGACGGAAACACGGGUAAACGUUGUUUACCGCUGUCGGCGUCUGAGCGUACAGGUUGGGACCCGAAAGAUGGUGAACUAUGCCCGGGCAGGUCGAAGCUAGAGGAAACUCUGGUGGAGGACCGCAGCGGUUCUGACGUGCAAAUCGAUCGUCGAACCUAGG